UUAUUUAUCAUUCAUAUAACUAAACUGUCAUGGUUUAGUUUACAAUUUAAAAAAAAAAUUUUAGAGACUCCUGGGGACACGGGGGGCGAGGGCACUGCUGCUGCGGGUCGGUUCAGCUUCAGCCCGGAGCCCACGCUCGAGGACAUCCGCCGCCUCCAUGCUGAGUUUGCUGCUGAACGAGACUGGGAACAGUUCCAUCAGCCUCGGAACCUCCUCCUGGCCUUGGUCGGGGAAGUGGGGGAGCUGGCAGAACUCUUUCAGUGGAAAACCGAUGGGCAGCCUGGCCCCCAAGGCUGGUCCUCCAGGGAACGGGCUGCCCUUCAAGAGGAGCUUAGUGAUGUCCUCAUCUACCUGGUGGCAUUAGCAGCCCGCUGCCGCGUGGAUCUGCCCCAAGCAGUGCUCUCCAAAAUGGACAUCAACCGGCGACGCUACCCAGCCCAUCUGGCCCGCAGCUCUUCCCGCAAGUAUACAGAAUUGCCCCACGGGACCAUCUCUGAAGAUCAGGCUGUGGGGCCCACGGACCUUCCCUGUGACUCCACGGGCCAGGCCUCAACCUAGAAAGAUGGCCAUAGGACUUGCAACUCAGGGUAGUGUCUGAGGAACAGAGGGUGGCUUGGCCCUGGAGCCUUUUUCUAGUCUUUUCCGAAUAGAUCAUGGGCCUGAGGCCUCCACUUCCUGAGGUCUGAAGCUCAGCAGCCUCUAGAAGGUUGCCUCCUGAUGUUUGCUCUCCCAGUAAAGUGGUUUUGAGUGAUAACUUCUAGAUUCUUCCUGGAUGGCCAAGGGAGGCUCUCUGUCUCAGCAGGUGAUGGUGAGGGGACCAGGGGUGCCUCUGAGCCCCAUUCUUGUUUCCCUGUUGUACCUUCUGCCUGUAGGGCAGAGAUAUCUGGUUUCUAGAAAAUUCCCAGUAGACUGUCAUAUAAGUUCCUUCCUCUCCUUUUAGAGAUUGGAGACUGUAAGAGUCCAGAUGCUGGAGCCAGGCUGUCUGGGUUCAAAUGCCAUCUUUGACACUUGCAAGCUGGAUGACAUUACUCAAAUUACUUAAUCUUUCUGCACUUCAGCUUCCUCGUCUGUAAAAUAAAGAGAAUAGUGCCUGCCCAAAAAAAAAAAA